rnacentral:lncRNA from 1 species
CUCAAGUGGGCGACGUUCAUUUUAGACACCUCAUGUAGGGUCUCGCUGUGUCAUUUUGACACUUUUUGCUGACUAAGCACAGUACGUGUGCUACACGAAUUUUGAGCGCGUCAGAGACUUUUUUCGUAAAUAUUUUGAAUUUUUUUGUAAAUAUUUUCUUCUCCUUCUUCUUCAUUGCUUUCUCCCUUCCAUCUUCCCCACCUUCUACCAUCCUCC